GGCAUGAGGGAUGGGAGGUAGUUGGAGAGGAGGGAACCCAGCCCUCCCCCUCCCACCACAGUGAUCGUUGGAAACUGCAAGCUUACUUCAGUGCCAAGGUGGGUGCGGGUGCUCUUGGGGGGCAGGCUGUGUGGGGAUCCAAGAGGUUUGCUAAGCGUCCCCGCCUCUGUCUGCAGAUGUUGUCAUUGCAUCCCGUCUAUGCCUUAGAUAGCCUACUCACCUUCUCUGUUCCGUCUAUGCCUUUGGCUCUCUGGUUCUCUCUUUUCCCUCACCCGUUCUCUGACCUCGCCUGUGGGUCUCUGCUCACUCUUCCCCCCUCCUCCCCUCUGGGUGUGUGUGGGUGGUUCAUCUGGCCAGUGUUGGUAACUGCUUUGUUUCUGAUUAUCUCAGCUAUCUGGGCAGUGUUGUCGAGACAAGCCUCUCCUCAGCUCAAUAGAAUACUUCCACCUGCACCCGGGAACGCUGCUGUGCCUGAGAGGCUGGAGGCUCUGAGAUACCAACGGAUAAAGAAGCCCAAAAAGUCAUCCAAGGGCUCUUCGAAGUCAAAGAAACGAUCCGACGGUUCUGCCUCCCAGGCUCAGCAGCUUCCCAGCUCUCAGGUUCUGUGGCCCGACGAAGCUGUCUGCCUCCGCAAGAAGAAGAGACACUCUCGUCCUGAUCCCUUUGCCCGGCUCUCAGACUUGUGCCACCGUCAGCUUCCGGAAGACCAGACAGCAAUCCUCAACAGCGUGGAUCAUGAUGACCCAGGCCACGCUACUCUGCUAUGACGUGACAUCACUCUAAAUGUCCCCAGGGUGGGGUGCUAGGCUAAAGGGGUGGAGAGGGACCAUUGUACAGGGCCCUGUCCUCCUCUGCCUAUCAUGGGAUGGCUCAGGCCCUUGUCCUGUGUGUGUCAUUGUCCCUCGUGCCAGUGGGGACCUCUGCCCCACUAUCUAGCCAGCUAGCUUUGCUCAUGGGACAGAGGACUGGGGGAAGAGCUUAUAACUGUGGGUCAGAGUUGGGAAUAUAUGGGAAUGGAAAACAUCUCUCUCUAUGCCACCUCUCUCUCCCACUUGGCUAGAUUGAUUCUUCUCACCUCUUUAAAUGUCUUAUGAAGUGAGGAAGUGGAAAGCAAUGGCUUUUAGUUCUCUGCAUUUGUUUCAGUUUUCCAAGUCCUGGGAGGGGGUUAGAGUUAUAUCCUGCCCUCCUAACUCCACAUAUAUAUAGAUAUAGAUACAAAUGCACUUGUGUGUAGUUGGUGGGUUUCUCUAUGUGUAUAUAUAUGUACAUUGAAGCUAAGUGCUUUUCUCCCUGUGGUCAGUGAGGGACUGAGGAAGAUACUCAACAGCGGGCAUGGUGAGUAGGGCCUGCUACGAACUGGGGGUUGUCUUCAUGUCUGUCUUGGGAGAUCACUCCGGCUAAAACAGGAUUCAUGCUUCCCAGCUGAGUUCUCCAUUGUUCUAUCUAUCCUCUCCCAUCUGGAGCAGAAAUGGGGUCCCACCAUGAUUCUUAGCUCCCUGCUUGAUGGGCUAGCAACAAGUUAACAUCUGAACUAAACAGAGCCUUUUGUUGCCUGGUUGCUAGGUGAAGAAAGCAUGGCCAGGCUUAAGGCCCGACUGACAUCUUUCUUUCUUCUGCAGUUCAGCUCUUCCCACAGAUGUAGUGCUUGUUUAGCGGCGGGGCUGACCGGCAGGCCUCGUGUACAACCCCCUGCUCAUGUGGUCAUGCCUCAGUGUCUUCUGGUGCAGCCAGGGCUAUCAGCCCUGCAACCAAAGGCCCUCCUGUUCUGUAGCCACCUGUGCUGAGCACUAGGCUGCCGCAAGCUCUGUUUAUACCCAUCUCUGCUCGGCAGUCUGCUCCCCCGCUGCCGAUUGGUUCCUCCUUUUCUUUUGUGUCUGCUAAUUCCCCAGAUUGAUUAAUUGCCAUUUGUGGGAGCUGCCUGUGGCUCCUUGGCAUACUCUCUAUGUGCUGCCUGCCAACUCUGCUCUGCCCUGGGGGUCCUUCUCCACCCCCUGGACCCAAUCUCUAGUGCAUGAGAUGAAGAAAUGGGGGUGCCUCAUAUUGUUGAGUUCUGGGGUGCUCCUUCCUCAUUGCUCCUAUGUGAAACUGCCUGAGUGAGGCACAGGGAUGAAGGUGGAAGGGGUGGUGGGCAGGCACCAGGGUCCUAAUCCUUUCUCUGUCCAAAUAUUGUUCUGGUUCAAACUGUUAGCACUCAAAAGUUUUCCUAAUGCCACUUAUAAAUUCAGAUGCUUGUCUGGCUUCUUAAAAGGUUAUGGUGUUACUCAGUAGUAGAAAAGAGGGAGAGUAGGCCCACCUUCUCCUUCCCUCUGGCUUAGCCUAAAGUAGUGGGAACUGCCAGCUUCCUGGAAGUAUCUCUUCUUGGUGCUGCUGUAUCCAUCUCUCUCCAGUGACUGCCUUGGACAGUAGCCAUGCCUACUGGAAGGUUUCUGCUGGUCCCACAGAAACUGCCGGUCCUUUGACCUAGUGACUUUGUUGAUGUCCCAGGGGCUGGGAAACUGUUCCUUUUCAGAGCUUCCAUCUCGGGGGAUUGACUGCAUACGCAGCCAGGCCUUGGUGCUCCCUUCUCUCUCCUUGAGAGCUGGGGAUGGACUCCACACUUGAGGCUUCACCUUGCAAGUCCUAUCACCACAGCUUUCUUCUGGACAUGGCAAAAAGAGGUGCUGAGGGCAGAGCUUCUUUUGCUCUGAGAUUAGGGCCACAUACCUUAGACCCUCCAACUGAUGUGAUUUUCAGAGAUGUUGGAGACCACUGGCCCCUAGACCUCAACUCUGACGAAGCAGAAGGGUUGAGUUGGAAGACUCACGUUCUUUCUCAAAAGCGGCACACUGCUUCUUCCACUGUGACACCAUGGGCUGCUAACUCAGUGUCUCUGGGUCUGCUGGGAACAAGGCUACCUGAAAUACUGGGGCAGUAUUUGGAGAUUAGUACUGGCCUAGCCUAUAGUGUUUGCUUGCUGUCUCACAUCACGUGACUCCUGAACCAUGGAGUGUAAAGGCAGGAUGUCAGGGCCCCUAGAUUUUGUAUUGAACUUGGACAACUAUUCUGAGGACCCUCCUGGGAAUUUUGGCCACUGUCUGGGCUUUGAAGUUACAACUGAGAAGAGGUUGCUGUCAAAGACUGCUUCUUUGGGAUGUUGUAGGGCCAAGAGCCUCAGUCCAUGGCUAGGCUUGCAGGCUGGGCUUGCAGGCUGUGCUAACAAAGGUGCUGACUCCUUUUUUCUCUUCUUGCCUCUGGCAGGGCUCCUUACCUCUGCCUUGCUGACCAAAUCGUGUAAACUGCUUUUGACUGGCCACUGGGUGACAGCUGUGCUCUUGUGUCCCCUGGGCUCAGAAGGGGCACAAGGUCUACCCAUUCCGAAGUGGCCUCUCAUACAGUCUUCUCCUAAGAGGUCUUCCUUCUUGUGACUUUCCUUAGAGGCCAGCAGCAUUCCUGAAAUUCAGGAAACUGUUUCAGCCCUUCCUUUGAUGACUGCAUAGCAAACUGGCAGAUACAGUCCCCAUGGUCAGUGGCUGACCAGGGUGUCAUAGGCGCGAUCUCAAUUGCUAGAUGUGAGCACACGCUUGACAGUCUGUUUAGAAAUGUGUGAUGUUGGGGUGUAUUCACUUCUAGGGACCAAUUACCUUUACACUCUUCCUCUGAACUUAGCAGUGACAACUAUUAAGCUUCCUAGGGCUUUCACCUUUCUUGCUGUGGGGGAAUCAUGUCUUCCAAAUUCUCCCCUUUGGGUCUGGUAGCCUUGCAGAAGUAUCUCAGUUCAAAACCUAUUCCUGUCCUCAGUUUUUUGUUUUUUUUUUUUUUUUUUUUUUUUUUUUUUGGUGUGUGUGUGUGUGUGUAUGCCUUUCCUUCUGCACUGUACCUGGAGAUGCUAUCCCAGUGUUUAAGCCACCAGUCAGGAAGAGCAUAAACUGGCUCUCUAAGGGCCCAGAAAGAUUGCAAUUAUUUGACAGGAAGAGGAUGAAACAUAAGAAGUGAAUCUUGUUUCUUGAAUUGAUGGCUGACCACACAGAUCUAGCUUUCAGAGAGUUCUAUGUGCUCAUGGUUAUGGGUGGCUAUUGAUCCAAUGUCUAGUGCUGGCCCUGUCUAAUGACCAGCCCAUCUCCUUCCCAGUUUUCUUUUCUUCUCUCUUUUUAAACAUUGGAUAUUUUCUUUAUUUACCUUUUAAAUGUUGUCCCCUUUCCCAUUACCCCCUACCCAGAACCCCCCUAUCCCAUCCCUCUUUCCCCUGCUUCUAUGAGAAUAUUCCCCUAUCCCCCACUCCUGCCUCCCUGCCCUUGAACUUCCCUACACUGGAAUAUCGAGCCUUCACAGGACCAAGGGCCUCUCCUUCCAUUGAUGAACUCCUUGGUUGGUGGUUUAGUCCCUGGGAGCUCUGGGGGAUCUGGUUGGUUGAUAUUGUUCUUUCUUUGGGGUUGCAAACCCCUUCGACUCCUUCUGUCCUUUUUCUAACUCCUCCAUUGGGGACCCCAUUGGGGACCCUGUGCCCAGUCUUCUUAGAGGAACUAGGGCAGGAAAGAAGGCUUCUGAGAUUCUUUCUCGGCAGGGAAAGGUGCCUCACACUCAACGCACAGUGUGAGCAAGAUCUAUGCGCUGUCUCCAGGGGCCUGGGUUAUGUAUUUAGGGGAGAUUUCAGCAGGGUAGGUUGGAACAGUUACUUAUUGGCAUUUCUUUCAGUGUGUUCUCUCUUUAUUUUUUUCACAGUGAUCUAACCUAGUUGAGCUUGACCGGAUUUUAUUUGCUCAUUCUUCUGCCCCUUUUAUGCAGAGGAACCUGGGUGAGGUUGGGAUGAGGGACUCUUUUGCUUCCUCCUCCUGGUGAUGUUGGUACCCAUUGGCUUCAGGGGAGGCAUCCCAGAACAUUAGGGCAUCAUAGCUGCUUCUUAGGAUCUAAGUCUGAUACUGAGGCCAUUUCUUCUGACUUUGUUGGAAAAACCCUUUUAAGAAGGCUUGGGGUGGACUGGGAAAAGUAUAGAUAAGUACAUUUUGUUAGUAUAUAGAGAACUCUAGGAAGUGAACAGCUAAUGGUUUGGAUUUGCUUUGUUUGCAUGUAAGAAGUGCUUUGGGGAACUCUGCAGGGACUUAGGGGUGGGGGGAUAGAGUCAAGAGCAGAGAUGUGGGGCAUGGGAGGUGCUGCUGCUCCUGUUUUUCUCUCGGAUCCCGAGCGUUCUCACUCGUGCUCCUUGGCUGGGCCCUUCCCUUUGUGCAAGCUCCAGGCCGUGCUGAUUAUCUCCGUCUCUUUGGGAGCAGGCUCAGGAUGUGGCUUAGCAGUCAUCCUACACUGAAUAUAGUAGUUGAUAGGGCAGGUGGGAUUGAGGAAGAGGAGUUAGACUCAAGGAGUGUGAGACUUAGAAGGAUGGGAGACUGGUCUUCAAAUGCCCAUGGUAGCUCCUUGUCGGUGGAAAGGGAAGGGUUGUUCUCGGGAGCUUGGUCCUUAUUCUUAUGGCUGCUGUAGCAGGCUGUGUCUGAAAGUGCCUAGUGGACACUGGUGCUGAUGGUGGAGAGGAGUUGUGCCUCCAGUCUUGUCAGUUUUCUUCUUGAGCUAUCGAGAAUGCCUUCAUCCUGCAGGCUAACAGUGGCCUUGUGACUAGAGGCUUUGCUUUCAAUUUCUCUUCCUUUGAUAGGUUAAAGAUACCACACUGUAGCUAUGACAGUUAACUAAUUUCAUCUGAAACCAGACACCAUCUAUUGUGUCCUUACUCUGUAGAACUUCCUCUUGGAUCAAGAGGAAAAACUGAAGAUCUCUUUAAGAGAAGUCAAUAAACUGAGAAUCAAAGCCUGGUUGGACUCUAAGAACUCUUCCCACGUCCUGCAACUUGGUGUUUUCGUGGCUGGCUUAUAACCCCUUCACUUUUAAUGCUGAAUCAGCAUGGGUCCAGAGCCUUGUGUUAGGGCCCCUGUCUCUGCUUCCAAAUAAGCUUUCAGAAAAAAUACACUGUCUGCACCAGAUGUUUGGUGUCAUGGAUUGCCAAGAGGAUUGAAGUUGUUUCAUGACCCCAUUUAAAAAAAAAAAAAAACAAAACCAACCCUAAUCAAUUGAGUCUGGUCUAAAGACACUCCUAGAUCAUUGGGAAUUCUUUGUAGAUUUAAAAAAAAAAUGCAUCAAUGCAAAUCUUUUUCAUGACUGGUCAUGUCUUAGGAGGGGGAAGAGUUGGGAUAUCCUAACUGCAAAAUAGUUGGGUACAUCAGCAGCGGGCCAUUGAACCUCUUAGAGGUUCUCCUCUGCAGUGGGUCAACUGAAGCAGUUAGAGAUUCUUAGGCAUGCUGGUGAAGAGUGGUCAGCUUUGCACCACUGGCUAAGGAAUUCAACCAAAGCAGCACAAGCGACUCAGCUUGAAGCCAGGGCCUCCACCAUCUACCUUUCCCAUCCAACUUAACUCCAUGGCAACAUGAAUGAGUAGGCUUGCUGUUCUUUUGGGUCUUAAAGAAAUUUGCCCCACCAAUCCCAUCUCCCACCAACAUUGACUUCCUGGAUCUGUUUUAAGGAAAUGCAGAGCAAACUCUCCCUUCACCCACAUUCAGACCAUCCAGGCUCUCUUUCCUUCUUGCCCCGACUUGUGUGUGGCUCCAGGACCCCUAGCUUGUGCAUGGUUUCCGCUAGGGAGGUGGUUGGGUUAGGGGGAGAAUUGGGGAGGGGAGGGAUUGGACUGGGGAAGGGGAUUUGCAUUUUCAACCUUAAACUACUGAAAGCAUGCUUUGGGGUGACCUCUGGGAUUUUCACAUAAACUAUGGUUAGGGAAAAAUGCCUGUUGCUCCUUAUAUGGGAGGUAGGGACUUGGGGGACUUUUGCCUUCCUUUUGGCUUAGGAAUCUAUUCUAUUUGAGGAGAAUAAGCCUCAUAGUUACCUUGCAAACCCUGGAAGGGAAACUUAUUUAUUCUAUCACCAAGUAUUUAUAUUGCCUACUGAGGACAACUGAGCAGUCUGUCGGGGGCUGACAUUGCCCUGUGUCAGAGAAAUGGAAUAAUCUCACCUGUUUCUCUGCAGGUGUCAGGUUAUCUGCCUGGUCAUGAACCCCCAAGCCAACUGAUUAUUCCAGUGUUCAGAAUUAAGUGUAUUAGAUGGGUGUGAGUAUCUGUGAUGGGUGUGAUGUAUGCAUGUGUGUGCUGUGUGUGCAGUGUGUAUGUAUUGUAUGGGUAUGCUUUGUAUGUGUGUUUGAUGCGAGUGUGGGUGUGAGGGAAUUGUAGAGACACCACUUUGCCUGGGUAGCAUCAGGCCUAGUUAUGGCUGACUCUUUCUUUGCUAGACAAACUUCUGCUUUGGCAGGAGGCUCAUACUCAUAAUAUACCACCUUGAGUGUAUUUUUAUGGAGAUUGUAUAUAAAAUUAUAUAAAUAUAUAUAACUUGUUCUAUUUUAAGGCAAAAGGAGACUUACUGGGGAGGGGGCAAGACUCAGAUGCAAUAGUGCUGGCUAACCGUGGGAGCUUCAGGUAAGUUGUCCACAUGGGGAGUGGGGGGGGGGUGAUGUAAGCAGGGAGUGGGGCUCGUGCCCGCUGCACAUAUAUAUAAAUAUAAAGAAAACUUAUAUAGAGCUAUCUAUCUAGCAUAUCUAUAUAUCUAUAUAUCUAUAUGAUGUCAUAGUUUGCUUUAUUUUUGUACCUGUGCUUAGAGACACUUUGAGCAGUAUCGCCUCCCCCAGGUGGUCCGGGGUGCUAGCUCAUGCCUUGAUCCCACUGAUAUUUCUCCAUCCUCCUCAAGACAGACUGUGUUGGAAGCUGCUUGAGUCUUUCUGGUAGAUAUGUGUAUAUAUGAACAAAAACAAAAACAAAAAAACCACAAAAAAACAACAAAAAACAAAAAAACAAAACUAAAGUCAUUUAUAGAAAGGACAGGCAAGCCGAAGGCGCCAAGCUGCUGGAUCUGCAUGUCUCCUGUCAGGGGGGUUCCCUAACUCCUGCUGUCUGGUAGAUGUGCUCAGUGUAGAAAGGACGAUGGAGAGCUUAGCAUGAAUCCAUACCCCUCUGGCUAAGGGUUGGUACUCAGUUCUUUGGAAACGAUUUAGCUCGGCAUCUUGGACAGAGGGAGCUCAGAUUCUCUAGGUCGUCUGGUAACACCUGUCCUGCUUUGUAGCACCUGGGCUCAAGCAGCCCCCGUGUGAGGUGGUAGGAAGGUUUUUGAAGCUGACUGCGUGGGUUCAGUCUUGGAGAAGAUACACCCUGGUAAUUACUGCUGCAGAGUCUUGGAACCAGCAUGAAUGUGAUAUCUAGUAUAAAUAUAGCAUCUGUGCUUUUUCAUUUAUUUUUAAUUGGAAAAUAAACUGUUGUCGGAAAUGGGGCAGUCUAGUCCCAGAACACUGAGCGGAAGAUCAGGAAAGGGGCACUGACACCGGUUAGGAUGUGAGGGAUAGGUCCUACUGCUGGCUGCUUGGCCCGGGACUCUGAAGUUAACAAAUGUAUUGGAAGAAGGUGGUUUGGAUGGAGAUUCCGGGAGUUCACUUGCGUUUGGGAAGGAAACUGUGUGCUCUGAAGAAUACCUCUUUAAGAAUUCAAGACCUCACAUAUGCUGCGAGGGCCCCAUGCCCUGCAGCCUUAGCUGGCGUCUCCUGGUGCUAGCUCUUUCUUCUCAUGUGCCAAGUGAUCAGAGUGGUGUCCUUGAAGCUGAUGCAAAGCCAGGGGAGACUCAAGGCUGAAGUCUCUCCAGUCUUCCUGCUUCUCACUUAAGAAAAGGCAAAAGUGCCCCCCCCCACACCAAUCUGUCCAAACAAAACAUGAUGCUAGCCAAGAGCUCUUAUUUCAGAUGCCUCAACUGUGGGAAGGGCUUUUAUGUUUUUGUUUUUGUUUUUGUUUUUUUCUGGUGGGGGAGGGGAGUGAAAGGCAGAGUAGGCUGGAGAGGAGCUUGAGUCUAACUCCUGACCCUUAAGGAGACCUUAUGAUUCCUUUGAUGAUCUUUUCAAAAUAUUAAAAAAAUGUCCAAGGGUAUUGUGAGAAAAUGGGUUCUCCUGUGGUCCAUGUCGGACUGGAUGGGCUCCAGCACCUGCUCUAACUUAGGAGGCCGAGGGAGGAUAGCAGGUGUUUCUUGUAGAUUUCCUGAGAGAUUGGGCAAGAGGAAGAACAGCAAAUUCUUUGUCCCUUUCUAGCUUGAGUCCCCUCCUCACUUACCAAAGAGGGGAUUGGGAUUCCAUUGUUUGUUUUUUGUUGUUGUUGUUUUUGUUUUUUGCCUCACUUUUGGUCAUAAGCUAUCAGCAGAGCAGAUCAUGUUAGCAUCUCAGGGCUCAUAGCUCAUACUCCAUGAAGCCCAGGUUUGCUCUGACUCUACUCUUUCCCCGUUGAGCUAAAGGCUUGGUCCUUAGAAACCUCAGCAGCAUCAAGGAACAUGAGAUUGCCCUCCUAUUUCAUGAUGUCCAAUUGGAUUCCUCUCUGGAAACGGGAAGAUGGACAUGUCCUUCACCUUGAAGUUUUAGGGCUUGAGGAAUGUGCCACUAUUACUCUGUCUAUGACCUCAGUCAGACGGUGCAAAGUGUGCACUGGAGGAGAAGGGAGUCGGGGCUCAGUAUCCAUCACCUAGUCUAUAGAAGAGCCAGCUUUCCAUGAUGGAACGCAGAGCUAAGGAGGCCAGGAUCUGACUAUGUAUGGAAAGAGCAAGCUAGCUGAACGUUGAGUCUCUUAGUUAAUGGGACUGGUGUUAAUGGGAAGGCUGCUCUGAGAAAGCUACUGCCAGGAUCCUGAACUGUUUCCAAUACUUGUGAUUCACCUUGGUCCCUAGGUCAUGGGAGAUUUGUUGACUUGUGAUGCUCUUUCUUCUUGGUAGGAGAUAGGGGAAAUCUAAGGAGACUUAGUUUGGCUACCUCUGUCUGUUAUAUGGAAUGAACGUGGAAACAGAUGUGGAAAUUGUUCUCCUAAGGGUUGAUGCAGCUCUGUCCUUUCCCCAUUGUCCUUAACCAGGAGACUUGGGGAAAGGGACACCUCUACCACUCAUCAGUUGCUUGGGCCUCACCUUAUGCUGUAGGUACUAACUAUGUGGAGCCAUUUGGACAAUACAAAAGCAUGGGGGGAGGGGCAGGACACAGCUGUGGAUCAUGAUGUUAGAGUAGGGGGGUUUGUUCUGUAGUCAAGAAAGUGACUGAAAGGAGUUGCUGUAUGGAAUGACCUUGAUGCCAGAACUCAAGACUGAGCUCUCACAAAAGGAGCAGCUGACCAUUGAGCGCUGUAUGCACUGUCAGACAGUCUUACAGCUCCAUUCAGAUUUAAUUUUCUAACUGCCAUUUGUGGGGUCGGAGACUGAGGGCAGGAAUGGGACAUGCUUUCCCAAGUUACCUGUCCUUAUACAAUCCUUGACUGAGCAGAGGGUGCCCUGCUUUGGUCAGCAACUCUGGGGCCCCCUUCAUCGCCGCCUCUUCUCUCUUUCAUGAGGAGGAACUGUAUCAUCUUGGACACAGUUCUUCCCUCGUGCAGUUAAAGGCAGUUUUUGUUGUAUGAAUUCUUUCCCUCCUGUGUCCCAUUAGUGUGUAGACACACGGCAGUGGGGAGGUGAAGGAUCCUGGUGCUCCCUGUCAGGCUCCCUCACAGACUGCACACCUCUUGCCCCUGACAGCCUCCUGGCUGUUAGUCUUAACAUAUCUGGACGUGACUAUCAAUAUCGUCAUGAGAUUUCUUGCUCUCAUUUCAGACCUUUAUUCUUCCUUUGGCUUUCGUUGGGGGCUCUUCCUCCCCCAUGCCUAGUCUUCUCAUGAAGAUGGUUCAAACCUCAUUUCUAUUUCUUGAAUGUUGAGUAUUACAUCACAGCGCUAGGGUGCUUCAUGGUGCUGCUCCUGAAGAGGCCAGCUGGACGGGAUCAGUCCGCUUCGUCCCACUGGUUCCUUAGAGCUUGCUGUAUCUUGUCCCUAUUAGAUGUUUUUCCUUGUGGGUUGGGGUGGGAGAGUUAGGGGUAGUUUUUGUGUUCUCUCUCUCUCUCUCUCUCUCUCUCUCCCCUUUCUCUCUCCCUUCCUCUUUCUCUCUAUAUGUAUGUAUGUAUGGAUUGGUUAAAGUCAGUUAUCAUGGGCAGCUGACUUUGACUCCAAAUUAAAGUUAAACUACACAUUGUACAGCUGCACACAGAACACCUUUGAGUGUGAAUUUGGAUGGCAACUAGAGGCAUACUUUUUGAACUUCAGGUAUGUAACUGAAAAGUAAAUAAAAACACUAUUUUUUCAGUAACCUUUUUUUUUCCUUCUAAAAGAUAACUUAAAAAUCAAACUAUACGAACAUUAAAUUGGUGCUGUACCAAAGCCUUAUGACAUAUUCCACACUCCGUAUAUCCUGUCUCCCGGGAGCUCUCUGCUUAUUACUCUUUUCAAAAGCCUGGGAAUGCCAGUGAGCGUCAAGCCUGGGUCUGGGUGCUGGGGACCCGUGGGCCAAGGGGACUCGUGGGAGCAGAAGAUGAUGGUGGAGGUGGGGGUACCCAUCUUCUGCCUGAGCAGAUACUGAAGGGAAAGCAGGUGUUGGUGUGUGUGGCAUGCAUGUGUGUGUGCGCGCGCGCAUGCGUGCGCACGUGUGCAUGAGCUCACCUGUGCAUAGUGCCGAGGAGCAUGCUAUGCUACCUGGGCACUGAAAGGGAGACCCAGGUUGGCCUGGGUGUGGGUUGGCUGUGGGAGUGAGGGGCACGCCCCUUCCCUUUUCCAUUUCCCCUUUCUUGUAGGUUAGUAAUGGAGGUGUAUCAGAAACAGCUACACUCUCAAACAGGUGCUUUUCCCCCUUCAGAAAUCUCCAAACUAAGUAUCUCUCUGUGAAGGGCCUGUCCAUGGGGCAGGCACCUCAGCUACCAAAUCCUAACCGCCUACGGCUGAGAGGAACCCUUUUCCUCUCUAGCCCUUGCCUAGUUUUUUGGGGACAAAGGUUCCUCCAGGGAUCUCUGCGUCCCCUGUUCCUUGGCCUGGGUGGGCUUCUUAGCCCAUUGAGAAGGCCUCACUGUGGCUGACCCAUAGCUGUACCUGCUCCGUGGUCCUAAUCAAUAAUGCCUGCCCUGGCGGCUGAGGACCAUGAUUCCUUUGGCCUCAGACUUGUCAGUGUGAAGUUGAGCACCAGCCCAGAUUUAUUCGGGAGGAAAUCUACAGUCGGCCUCCACCUAGACUGUGACUCUAGGCUCCACCUGCUGGUGCUCUUGGGCUUGCUGAAACUAACCAACUCAUCCCCAGUAACACUGCAUGUCCAUAUCCGCAAACAACAACAACAGUACAUAAGCAAGCGCAGGGAAAGAGAGAGAAAGAAGACACAUCCAACAUCUAGAUGUGUAGUCAGUGAGGGAACCCCUGGGAACAUUGCAAGCUAAGCUGAUUUCAAAACGUUUAGUAUUUAAAUUACUUCUCAUGUAACAUUACUCUGCUUCAGA
rnacentral:lncRNA from 1 species